UUGCUUGCUUCAGCAGCACUAUUGGAACAAUACAGAGAAGGUUGGCAUGGCCCCUGAGCAAGGAUGGCAUGCAAAUUCAUGAAACGUUCCAUAUUUUU
rnacentral:snRNA from 1 species